rnacentral:rRNA from 1 species
AGUGAACGCUGGCGGUAGGCCUAACACAUGCAAGUCGAACGGCAGUUCAGUAAUUGCUUGCUCUUACGUGUGUCGAGUGUCGGACGGUUGAUGAAUACUUCGGAAUCUACUUUUUCGUUGGUGCUAACGUAGGGAAACUUCCGCUAAUACCGCAUACGACCUACUGGUGAAAGCAGGCGAUCUUCGGACCUUGCGCGUUUGAUUGUGCCUAUGUCGGAUUAGCUAGUUGGCGGGGUAAAGGCCCACCAAGGCGACGAUCCGUAGAUGGUCUGAGAGGAUGAACAGCAACACUGGAACUGAGAGAAGGUCAAGAAUCCUAAGGGAGGAAGCAGGGGGGAAUAUUGGAGAAGGGGAGCAAGGGGGAUCCAGCCAUAACGCGUGGGUGAAGAAGGCAUUCGGGUUGUAAAGACCUUUUGUUGGGAAAGAAAAGAAAAAGGUUAACACCCCGCUGUUCUGACGGUACCCAAAGAAUAAGCACCGGCUAAAUUCGUG